rnacentral:rRNA from 1 species
GAUGAAUGCUGGCGGCGUGCCUAAUACAUGCAAGUCGAGCGAACAGACGAGGAGCUUGCUCCUCUGACGUUAGCGGCGGACGGGUGAGUAACACGUGGAUAACCUACCUAUAAGACUGGGAUAACUUCGGGAAACCGGAGCUAAUACCGGAUAAUAUAUUGAACCGCAUGGUUCAAUAGUGAAAGACGGUUUUGCUGUCACUUAUAGAUGGAUCCGCGCCGCAUUAGCUAGUUGGUAAGGUAACGGCUUACCAAGGCAACGAUGCGUAGCCGACCUGAGAGGGUGAUCGGCCACACUGGAACUGAGACACGGUCCAGACUCCUACGGGAGGCAGCAGUAGGGAAUCUUCCGCAAUGGGCGAAAGCUUGACGGAGCAACGCCGCGUGAGUGAUGAAGGUCUUCGGAUCGUAAAACUCUGUUAUUAGGGAAGAACAAAUGUGUAAGUAACUAUGCACGUCUUGACGGUACCUAAUCAGAAAGCCACGGCUAACUACGUG